rnacentral:tRNA from 1 species
GUGACCGAACCCCGAAGGGUCGAGGGGGCCCGGUUGUGACCCGGGCGCAAGCCGGUUCAAGUCCGGCCGGUCACCCC